UACGGGGGGGGCAAGCGUUGUUCGGAAUCACUGGGCGUAAAGGGCGUGUAGGCGGUCAGGUAAGUGGGAUGUGAAAUGCCUCGGCUCACCCGAGGCACUGCAUUCCAAACUGCUUGGCUUGAGUAUGGGAGAGGAUGAGGGAAUUCCUGGUGUAGCGGUGAAAUGCGUAGAGAUCAUGAGGAAGACCAGUGGCGAAGGCGGGUCUCUGGACAGUUCCUGACACUGAGGCACGAAGGCCAGGGGAGCAAACGGG
rnacentral:rRNA from 1 species